UCGUCCCUACGGGGCGCAGCAGUGAGGAAUAUUGGUCAAUGGACGGAAGUCUGAACCAGCCAUGCCGCGUGCAGGAAGACGGCUCUAUGAGUUGUAAACUGCUUUUGUACAAGGGUAAACCUGAAUACGUGUAUUCAGCUGAAAGUACUGUACGAAUAAGGAUCGGCUAACUCCGUGCCAGCAGCCGCGGUAAUACGGAGGAUCCAAGCGUUAUCCGGAUUCAUUGGGUUUAAAGGGUGCGCAGGCGGGCCUUUAAGCCUGCGGUGAGA
rnacentral:rRNA from 1 species